GAAUUCGCCCUUAGAGUUUGAUCCUGGCUCAGGAUGAACGCUGGCGGCGUGCUUAACACAUGCAAGUCGAACGGGAAAUAUUUCAUUGAGACCUCGGUGGAUUUGAUCUAUUUCUAGUGGCGGACGGGUGAGUAACGCGUGGGUAACCUGCCUUAUACAGGGGGAUAACAGUCAGAAAUGGCUGCUAAUACCGCAUAAGCGCACAGAGCUGCAUGGCUCGGUGUGAAAAACUCCGGUGGUAUAAGAUGGACCCGCGUUGGAUUAGCUAGUUGGUGGGGUAACGGCCCACCAAGGCGACGAUCCAUAGCCGGCCUGAGAGGGUGAACGGCCACAUUGGGACUGAGACACGGCCCAGACUCCUACGGGAGGCAGCAGUGGGGAAUAUUGCACAAUGGGCGAAAGCCUGAUGCAGCAACGCCGCGUGAGGGAAGACGGUUUUCGGAUUGUAAACCUCUGUUUUCGGUGACGAACAAAUGACGGUAACCGAGUAGGAAGCCACGGCUAACUACGUGCCAGCAGCCGCGGUAAUACGUAGGUGGCAAGCGUUAUCCGGAAUUACUGGGUGUAAAGGGAGCGCAGGCGGGAUAGCAAGUCAGCUGUGAAAACUAUGGGCUCAACCCAUAAACUGCAGUUGAAACUGUUAUUCUUGAGUGGAGUAGAGGCAAGCGGAAUUCCGAGUGUAGCGGUGAAAUGCGUAGAUAUUCGGAGGAACACCAGUGGCGAAGGCGGCUUGCUGGGCUCUAACUGACGCUGAGGCUCGAAAGUGUGGGGAGCAAACAGGAUUAGAUACCCUGGUAGUCCACACUGUAAACGAUGAUUGCCUAGGGGGGGGGGUCUGACCCCCUCCGUG
rnacentral:rRNA from 1 species